UGGCGGCUAGUAUAACAUAAAACCCCUAAUUUCGACUUAGAAAAUCCCGAUGCCAUGCCGGGGCCGCCAC
rnacentral:tRNA from 1 species